AUUGAACGGUGGCGGCAGGCCUAAAACAUGCAAGUCGAGCGGAGCGGCGGACGGGUGAGUAAUGCCUAGGAAUCUGCCUGGUCGUGGGGGAUAACGUCCGGAAACGGGCGCUAAUACCGCAUACUAUCAGAUGAGACUAGGUCGGAUUAGCUAGUUGGUGGGGUAAAGGCCUACAAAGGCGACGAUCCGUACCUGGUCUGAGAGGAUGAUCAGUCACACUGGAACCGAGACACUGUCCAGAGUCCGAGGGAAGGCAGCAGUAGGGAAUAUUCGACAAUGGGCUAAAGCCUAAUCCAGCCAUGCCGCUUGUGUGAAGAAGGUCGUGGGAUUGUAGAGCACUUUAAGUUGGGAGGCGUUACCAACAGAAGAAGCACCGGCUAACUUCGUGCCAGCAGCCGCGGUAAUAC
rnacentral:rRNA from 1 species